GUUGCUUUGGCCGAGUGGUUAAGGCGUGUGCCUGCUAGUACAUGGGGUUUCCCCGCGAGAGUUCGAAUUCUCAGGCAACG
rnacentral:tRNA from 1 species